rnacentral:rRNA from 1 species
UACGAAGGGGGCUAGCGUUGCUCGGAAUCACUGGGCGUAAAGGGUGCGUAGGCGGGUCUUUAAGUCAGGGGUGAAAUCCUGGAGCUCAACUCCAGAACUGCCUUUGAUACUGAGGAUCUUGAGUUCGGGAGAGGUGAGUGGAACUGCGAGUGUAGAGGUGAAAUUCGUAGAUAUUCGCAAGAACACCAGUGGCGGAAGGCGGCUCACUGGCCCGAUACUGACGCUGAGGCACGAAAGCGUGGGGAGCA